GAUGAACGCUGGCGGCGUGCCUAAUACAUGCAAGUCGAGCGAACAGACGCGGAGCUUGCUCCUCUGACGUUAGCGGCGGACGGGUGAGUAACACGUGGAUAACCUACCUAUAAGACUGGGAUAACUUCGGGAAACCGGAGCUAAUACCGGAUAAUAUAUUGAACCGCAUGGUUCAAUAGUGAAAGACGGUUUUGCUGUCACUUAUAGAUGGAUCCGCGCCGCAUUAGCUAGUUGGUAAGGUAACGGCGUACCAAGGCAACGAUGCGUAGCCGACCUGAGAGGGUGAGCGGCCACACUGGAACUGAGACACGGUCCAGACUCCUACGGGUGGCAGCAGUAGGGAAUCUUCCGCAAUGGGCGAAAGCCUGACGGAGCAACGCCGCGUGAGUGAUGAAGGUCUUCGGAUCGUAAAACUCUGUUAUUAGGGAAGAACAAAUGUGUAAGUAACUAUGCACGUCUUGACGGUACCUAAUCAGAAAGCCACGGCUAACUACGUG
rnacentral:rRNA from 1 species